ensembl:lncRNA
AGACACGUAAAUGCCCUCUGCCCCCCGCUUACCCAGAGCCAUCGGCAGGAUAAAAGACUGAGCUAUCUCGAAGUGCCGCAAUACAAGAUGUAACAGCUUCCUACCAACUUGGAAAUGAUGCAUUUUGACAUUAAAAUCUGAACAGCACCCAAAGGUUUGUUCAUACUACUGAAUGCAAUCAAGCUGCAGCUGCUUAACAAGUUCCAGUCAGUGCCCUCCUGCCCAAGCAGAGAUAACCACCUGGCCAUCACACGGUCCACACAGCCCCAGUCACAAGGCUGUGCGUGUUAAUUCAUUUCAGGUAAGGCAGCUGAACAGCACACUGAGCUUUUUUAACCAAAAUCAGCUCCAAAUUUAUCCAUUACACCCAAAUACUUACAUCUCAGGCUAUGUCCAACAGCAUGACCCAAAAUCCACCAAAGUCAACUGUAGAACUUUCAUGAACAAAGAUUUGGGCUUUAAAUUCUCCUUGCUUUCCAAAGUAUGCAAUGAGCUAGUUCUGCCAACCCUUAUUCACUCCAGCAGUAAAUGUGUUGCAUGUGUUGCCUUUAGGGCUGGAGCUUACCGCUCUGUGGAUAAAUGUUUGCAAAGGCUGAUGCUAGGUUUCCUGAUUCGAGUCUCUGCACUAAGAGCUGGCCAGCCCAGCCUGCACUUUCACUGAAUUGUGGUCUAAUGAAAUAUAGGAGAAUAAACAGAGAAGCUGUUCUCUUGAAAGCCACUACAUCUGAAAUUUGGCAGGCUGCAGUACAUUACACCACCAACCACAGGGUCAUAAUGUUUAAAUACAUCGUAUAUAGAAAAUAGUUACCAAAAAGUAAGUAUAGUCAGCAUUUGUAAUAAAUAAUAGCUAAUAAAUAGCGAAAAGAUUACAUUCUAGGAUGUAGGCUCCAAUGUCUUCCAUUAUUUAGUAAUUUAUUAUAUGAAAUUCGUUGACCUUUCCAAGCUUUUCUUUUUCCCUUUCUUUUCUGGUGAAGCAAGAGCGUUAAUUAUGCUUUAGCUUUUUUUAUUGAGCAACAUUACCAUACAAAUAGGCCAUCAAUAACCAAUUACAAUCUCCGUCUCAGUAAGAGGAAAGCUACCAGAUUGAGUGUGGCUACUCACACAUAUGCACAAGGCCUUUAAAAAAAAAAAAAAGGCAGAGCAACUCACAAUUGAAUAAAACAGGAAUGCACAGGAGAAACAGACAGUGAUAGAUGGAUAAAUAUCAGGCUAGCUCUCAAGCAGGGAAUUCAAAAAGGUCCUUCUUAUUCAUCGGCCAAACAUAAGUCUAUCAGCAUAACCCUAGUUUCCCCCAGACUGCCCUGCCAGUGACUCCAGAGAUUAAAAAUUCAUUCAGAUCUCAUGCUGGCAACAUUUAUGAAUUUUGCUCAAGUGGAAACUAUCAAUUGUGUCAAAUGGCACUGACUUAUGUCUUAAGCAACAUUUGACUUAUUGCCAGCAAAAUACUAAAUCUGCUUGCUUCUUUUUUUUUUUUUUUUGGUGGGGGAACUAUAUGGGAGAAAGGGUUAUUUGUUGCAUUUAUCACUGUAAUAGUAGGUUUGUGCUAAAGAUGAAUAAUAUAACAACUGCUGCAUUUUUUUCCUGAAAAUACAAUACAUUGCUACUGUGUUUUCAACUAAAAC